CAAAAACAUCUCUUCUUGUUAAUUUUUGAGGUAUGGCCUGCCCACUGACGUAUGAGUUUUUGAAGGGCCGCGGUAUUUUGACCGUGCAAAGGUAGCAUAAUCAUUAGUUCUUUAAUUGUGAACUUGUAUGAAUGGUUCGACGAGGUAUUUUCUGUCUUUGAUUAAGGUUGUUAUUGAAUUUGGUGUUUGGGUAAAAAAACUUAAAUUGUGUUGUGGGACGAGAAGACCCUAUAGAGUUUUAUACAUUUUUCUUAUUUUGGUUUGGUAAUUCUGUUGAGUUUAUUUUGUAUUUUGUUGGGGUGAUAGGAGGAUAAUGAGUAACUCUUCUUUAUUUGUGUUUCAUUUAUUUAUGUUAUUGUGAUCCUUUAUUAUUGAUUAUAAGAUUAAAUUACCUUAGGGAUAACAGCGUAAUCUUUUUUGAGAGUUCUUAUUGACAAAAGGGUUUGCGACCUCGAUGUUGGAUUAGGAUGAAUUUU
rnacentral:rRNA from 1 species